AACGCAUCUUGCGCUUUUGGGUAUCCCUGAAAGCAUACCUUUCUGAGUAUCGUUUCAACCCCCUCCACGCGGCGUGCAUUUAUUUGUGCGAUUCGUUUGUGGGUAAAUGGAUGUUUGGCUGACGCCAAUCAUCUGAAACGCAUUCAGUUUCAGUAUCUUCGACCGAUAUUAAAAUUUAUUUUUUAGUAUCGCGUUGACGAUGUUUGAUAAUUGACCUUUGGUCAUUACUCUAUCACAUCGGCAAUGUAGAAGAACCACUGUUAAUUGUUUCAAGGCCCAAGAAUAAAAAAACACGUGAUUCAUUUCAUGUUGUUUUCGAAUUCUUAAUCUUGAUCUCAGAUAAAGUAAGAGAACCCGCCGAAUUUAA
rnacentral:misc_RNA from 1 species